UGGCGACCGGCGCACGGGUGCGUAACGCGUAUGCAACUUGCCUCACAGAGGGGGAUAACCCGUCGAAAGACGGACUAAUACCGCAUACACUCCAGCUUGGGCAUCUAGGCUAGAGGAAAUGAAUUUCGCUGUGAGAUAGGCAUGCGUCCCAUUAGCUAGUUGGUGAGGUAACGGCUCACCAAGGCGACGAUGGGUAGGGGAACUGAGAGGUUGAACCCCCACACUGGUACUGAGACACGGACCAGACUCC
rnacentral:rRNA from 1 species